UACGUAGGGUGCAAGCGUUAAUCGGAAUUACUGGGCGUAAAGCGUGCGCAGGCGGUUCGUCGUGUCCGAUGUGAAAGCCCCGGGCUCAACUUGGGGAUGGCAUUGGAAACUGGCGGACUCGAGUGUGGCAGAGGGGGGUGGAAUUCCGCGUGUAGCAGUGAAAUGCGUAGAGAUGCGGAGGAACACCGAUGGCGAAGGCAGCCCCCUGGGCUAACACUGACGCUCAGGCACGAAAGCGUGGGGAGCAAACAGG
rnacentral:rRNA from 1 species